CCGAUAGAACUCUCUACUUCCAGGCUUUGGCAUAAUGGCAUUGCAUUUAUUUAUUUCAAUUCCAACUCCAUCACUCUUCUUUUGCUUCAUCUUCGAUAUUCUCACUGAUGAAUAUUUGUUCCACCCUUCUCAAGCAUGCAUGCUUUUCAGGUUUAUCCGAGAGAGAGAGAGAGAGAGAGAGAGAGAGAGAAUGCAUAUCAGAAUUGUAUGUAGUGUGCGGGAUGAAGUCAUUCAUCUACAUUGAACCUGAAUUGAAGCAAUUAAGGAUCACCAUUGAAAAGAUUCUUUUCAUGAACGAAUGGGCGCCAGCCUGCAGAAAGUAGUGGCUUCUUAUGUCUUCCAUUGCGGAUGGUUAAAGUAAACCUUCUUAUCUGGCCUUCUUCAUCUUCUAAAAAGAGAGUUUGAUGAUUCUGGCCUGAAGGAAAAUUAGGAAGAUGGUUGAGAAUGCAAGUUUCCAUUACCAAUCUGCCAUCAAUGUCUGUCUUACUUAGUAAGUUAGAGGACAUCAUCAUUGACAUCUCCAUUACUACAAAGGUCUAAUUAGUCUGGAAAAUUAAUUAUAUUUAUAGAGGGGUGUGGGACCGGGUGUUUUGUAAUGUAAGUACGCCACGGGAAGACACGUAUAGCUCCUAUAAAUUUGUUUUCUAAACUUGAAAGUUGAUACAUUCAUUUAUAAAUGAAUAUGAUGUCAAUUUGCAAUCA